rnacentral:rRNA from 1 species
UGCAGUCGAGCGGAUGAAGGGAGCUUGCUCCUGGAUUCAGCGGCGGACGGGUGAGUAAUGCCUAGGAAUCUGCCUGGUAGUGGGGGAUAACGUCCGGAAACGGGCGCUAAUACCGCAUACGUCCUGAGGGAGAAAGUGGGGGAUCUUCGGACCUCACGCUAUCAGAUGAGCCUAGGUCGGAUUAGCUAGUUGGUGGGGUAACGGCCUACCAAGGCGACGAUCCGUAACUGGUCUGAGAGGAUGAUCAGUCACACUGGAACUGAGACACGGUCCAGACUCCUACGGGAGGCAGCAGUGGGGAAUAUUGGACAAUGGGCGAAAGCCUGAUCCAGCCAUGCCGCGUGUGUGAAGAAGGUCUUCGGAUUGUAAAGCACUUUAAGUUGGGAGGAAGGGCAGUAAGUUAAUACCUUGCUGUUUUGACGUUACCAACAGAAUAAGCACCGGCUAACUUCGUGCCAGCAGCCGCGGUAAUACGAAGGGUGCAAGCGUUAAUCGGAAUUACUGGGCGUAAAGCGCGCGUAGGUGGUUCAGCAAGUUGGAUGUGAAAUCCCCGGGCUCAACCUGGGAACUGCAUCCAAAACUACUGAGCUAGAGUACGGUAGAGGGUGGUGGAAUUUCCUGUGUAGCGGUGAAAUGCGUAGAUAUAGGAAGGAACACCAGUGGCGAAGGCGACCACCUGGACUGAUACUGACACUGAGGUGCGAAAGCGUGGGGAGCAAACAGGAUUAGAUACCCUGGUAGUCCACGCCGUAAACGAUGUCGACUAGCCGUUGGGAUCCUUGAGAUCUUAGUGGCGCAGCUAACGCGAUAAGUCGACCGCCUGGGGAGUACGGCCGCAAGGUUAAAACUCAAAUGAAUUGACGGGGGCCCGCACAAGCGGUGGAGCAUGUGGUUUAAUU